rnacentral:misc_RNA from 1 species
AAGAGUUUUUACAACUCCAAACCCUGUGAACAUACCCUACGUUGCCUCGGCAGGUGCACCUACCCUGUAGGCCUUACCCUGUAAGAGCUACCCUGUGACACUUACCCUGUAGGUGUUACCCUGUAGCGCCUUACCUGGUGAGACCUACCCGGUAGAUGCGGUCAGCCUGCCGGUGGCCCCUAUAACUCUGUUUGGCAUUGUAUCUCUGAAUAUAGAAUUAAAUAAGUUA